rnacentral:rRNA from 1 species
CUUUUUGGAGAGUUUGAUCCUGGCUCAGGACGAACGCUGGCGGCGUGCCUAAUACAUGCAAGUCGAGCGGACUUGACAGCGCUUGCUCUGUUCAAGUCCGCGGC